rnacentral:rRNA from 1 species
GAUCCAGCCAUGCCGCGUGUGUGAAGAAGGUCUUCGGAUUGUAAAGCACUUUAAGUUGGGAGGAAGGGCAGUUACCUAAUACGUGAUUGUUUUGACGUUACCGACAGAAUAAGCACCGGCUAACUCUGUGCCAGCAGCCGCGGUAAUACAGAGGGUGCAAGCGUUAAUCGGAAUUACUGGGCGUAAAGCGCGCGUAGGUGGUUAGUUAAGUUGGAUGUGAAAUCCCCGGGCUCAACCUGGGAACUGCAUUCAAAACUGACUGACUAGAGUAUGGUAGAGGGUGGUGGAAUUUCCUGUGUAGCGGUGAAAUGCGUAGAUAUAGGAAGGAACACCAGUGGCGAAGGCGACCACCUGGACUGAUACUGACACUGAGGUGCGAAAGCGUGGGGAGCAAACAGGAUUAGAUA